UACGGAGGGUGCAAGCGUUAUCCGGAUUCACUGGGUUUAAAGGGUGCGUAGGUGGAUUUGUAAGUCAGUGGUGAAAUCUCCGGGCUUAACCCGGAAACUGCCAUUGAUACUAUAAGUCUUGAAUUAUCUGGAGGUAAGCGGAAUAUGUCAUGUAGCGGUGAAAUGCUUAGAUAUGACAUAGAACACCAAUUGCGAAGGCAGCUUACUACGGAUAUAUUGACACUGAGGCACGAAAGCGUGGGGAGCAAACAGG
rnacentral:rRNA from 1 species